UGCCGGUCGAUAGACUUCGGUCAGAUUGAUGGAUUAGUGGCGCACGGGUGCGUAACACGUAGGUAACCUGCCCUCGAGUGGGGAAUAACCACGGGAAACUGUGGCUAAUACCGCAUAAAGUCUUGAUGGCGCAUGCCAUCAAGAUGAAAACUCCGGUGCUCGAGGAUGGGCCUGCGGCGGAUUAGGAAGUUGGUGAGGUAACGGCUCACCAAUCCAGCGAUCCGUAGCUGGUCUGAGAGGAUGAUCAGCCACACUGGCACUGAGACACGGGCCAGACUCCUACGGGAGGCAGCAGUGAGGAAUAUUGGGCAAUGGGCGAAAGCCUGACCCAGCCACGCCGCGUGCAGGAUGACACCCCUAUGGGGCGUAAACUGCUUUUAUAUGGGAAGAACCCCCCGAAUUUGUUCGGGGCUGACGGUACCAUACGAAUAAGGACCGGCUAACUCCGUGCCAGCAGCCGCGGUAAUACGGAGGGUCCAAGCGUUGUCCGGAUUUAUUGGGUGUAAAGGGUGUGUAGGCGGGCUUGUCAGUCAGAGGUGAAAUCCUACGGCUCAACCGUAGAACUGCCUUUGAUACUGCAAGUCUUGAGUCCUGGAGAGGUUGCUGGAAUUCGUGGUGUAGCGGUGAAAUGCGUAGAUAUCACGAGGAAC
rnacentral:rRNA from 1 species